AAUCCAUGGUGAGGGCAGUCACAUUCAUAUUCUUUAAAACGCUCCCACGCUUCAUAGAAAGGUUCAGUCGGUCCUUGCUGAAAGCUUGAGAUCUUGGUUCUCAUC
rnacentral:snoRNA from 1 species